GACGAGCUCCCCAAACGUUAUUCGGUAUCACUGGGCUUAAAGAGUUCGUAGGCGGCGAAGUAGGUGAGGUGUGAAAGCCCUCGGCUUAACCGAGGAACUGCGCUUCAAACCGCUUUGCUUGAGGGAGAUAGGGGUAAGCGGAACAGAUGGUGGAGCGGUGAAAUGCAUUGAUAUCAUCUGGAACACCGGUGGCGAAAGCGGCUUACUGGAUCUUUUCUGACGCUGAGGAACGAAAGCUAGGGUAGCGAACGGGAUUAGAUACCCCGGUAGUCCUAGCCGUAAACGAUGAGCACUAGUCUGAGGAUCUCUCACAGGUUCUCGGACGUAGCGAAAGUGUUAAGUGCUCCGCCUGGGGAGUAUGGUCGCAAGGCUGAA
rnacentral:rRNA from 1 species